rnacentral:rRNA from 1 species
GGUUAAGUUAGAAAGGGCGCACGGUGGAUGCCUUGGCACUAGGAGCCGAAGAAGGACGGGACUAACACCGAUAUGCUUUGGGGAGCUGUACGUAAGCGUUGAUCCAGAGAUUUCCGAAUGGGGGAACCCACUAUCUUUAGUCGGAUAGUAUCCUUACGUGAAUACAUAGCGUGAGGAAGGCAGACCCAGGGAACUGAAACAUCUAAGUACCUGGAGGAAGAGAAAGAAAAAUCGAUUUCCUGAGUAGCGGCGAGCGAAACGGAAAGAGCCCAAACCAAGAAGCUUGCUUCUUGGGGUUGUAGGACACUCUAUACGGAGUUACAAAAGAAAGUUAUAAAUGAAGCGGUCUGGAAAGGCCCGCCAAAGACGGUAACAGCCCGGUAGUUGAAAUGGCUUUCCCUCCAGAGUGGAUCCUGAGUACGGCGGAACACGUGAAAUUCCGUCGGAAUCCGGGAGGACCAUCUCCCAAGGCUAAAUACUCCCUAGUGACCGAUAGUGAACCAGUACCGUGAGGGAAAGGUGAAAAGCACCCCGGAAGGGGAGUGAAACAGUUCCUGAAACCGUGUGCCUACAAGUAGUUAGAGCCCGUUAAUGGGUGAUAGCGUGCCUUUUGUAGAAUGAACCGGCGAGUUACGAUUUGUUGCAAGGUUAAGCGGAAAAAGCGGAGCCGUAGCGAAAGCGAGUCUGAAUAGGGCGCAUAAGUAACAGGUCGUAGACCCGAAACCAGGUGAUC